GAUGAAGAACGCAGUGAAAUGCGAUAAGUAGUGUGAAUUGCAGAAUUCAGUGAAUCAUCGAAUCUUUGAACGCACAUUGCGCCCCUUGGUAUUCCAUGGGGCAUGCCUGUUCGAGCGUCAUUUGUACCUUCAAGCUUUGCUUGGUGUUGGGUGUUUGUCCCGAGGGACUCGCCUUAAAGUAAUUGGCAGCCAGUGUUUGGUUUUGAAGCGCAGCACAAGUCGCGAUUCAAGGCUACACGCCCGCUUCCACAAGCCUUUUUUCACUUUUGACCUCGGAUCAGGUAGGGAUACCCGCUGAACUUAAGCAUAUCAAUAAGGGAGGA
rnacentral:misc_RNA from 1 species